rnacentral:rRNA from 1 species
GACGAACCGUGCGAACGUUGUUCGGAUUCACUGGGCUUAAAGGGCGCGUAGGCGGGGUCUCAAGUCAGGGGUGAAAUCCUCCGGCUCAACCGGAGAAGGGCUUCUGAGACUGGGAUUCUGGAGGGAGGUAGGGGUCGAGGGAACUUCCGGUGGAGCGGUGAAAUGCGUAGAUAUCGGAAGGAACGCCGGUGGCGAAAGCGCUCGACUGGACCUCUUCUGACGCUGAGGCGCGAAAGCCAGGGGAGCGAACGGG